CCGAGUUGUGCUUGUCUUAUUACUUUCAGAUUAAGAACUGAGUUUCCAUUGCAUAUAUACACGCCGGAUUAAGAACCGAGUUGUGUUGCCUUUACAUGAUGUUAAUAAUAUAUUCUGUUCACAGGGUUUCCUGAUAAGCACAUUGUACCUGAAUCUUGUGGUAUCCAUGGUAGUGUAAUUAAUGUGAUAUCCACAAAUGAAGUGAUUUCCGUCACUUAAAGUAGGUCGCUGGUGAAAUUACGGUUUCCAAUAGAGCGGAGAGAGCAACUGUUCGGAAUGCCUAGCUGAACGAAUGCAUGCUACAGGCUGCGCGACAACCUUGUCAUGAAGGGCCAACUUCUGCGGUCGUUGCGCUGACAGCCACGAAAGAAGCCGUAUCACCGUGGCUUUCGUAUGAAGAUUUGAUAUGGUAAUGUGUGUUGUCUUAUAGCAAAAUUGGUGGCUAGUACACAUUGAUUAUUACCAUUUAUUAAUUUUAUCAUGUUGAUAGAAAAAAAAAAAAUAAUCAGCGGUUGUUAAAGGUCCUGCCAAGGAACAGCCAUGUAUUCUGCUUAAUAUAUAUUCAAAAAAAAAAAAAAAAUACAUGACAAUAUUUUGUAAUGUCUUGAUUGUCAUUGUUUAUUACUAAAUUAUUUAACGGCUAUGUAAGCCGGAUCUGUAAUUGAGAGCACCUACUAUGCCAAUUGUAAAUUAAUUUCUCGUAACCUUAUCAUGUUACUUGAACGACAGUUGUGUUGUACUGAUUCUAUCACCUACUGGCUUAGUUCCAAGAAAAAUUAUCACGUUCUCGUUACAUUAAGGAACUUAGUAUUUCCCAUGUAUGUUACAGAGCUUCUUAACAAGAGCUUGUGCUGUGUUGGAAGGUGGCUAUGAUCACGCAUAGGGUGUGUCAUGUUAACCUCUCACGAGUUGUACGCCUUCUUGCGCAUGUGGGGAGCUUCACAGCCUACAGUGACGAAGCCAACUGUGAGUUUGUUCCAUGUAUUUGCUAUUUAAACGACGCCAAUCAUCAUUAUUAUAUUGAGCGGUUGGUUAGUUUGGAAUGCACCGCUCACGUAAGUCUUAACUUAAGGCAUAAAUGGCAUAAUACUUGCCUGAAAAUAAAUGAAAUGUAUUGAUGGGU